rnacentral:rRNA from 1 species
AAUCGAACUCGGAGAUAGCUGGUUCUCCCCGAAAUAGCUUUAGGGCUAGCGUCGGAUAUGUGUAGUGGAGGUAGAGCACUGAAUGGGCUAGGGGGCAUAUCGCUUACCGAACCUUAUCAAACUCCGAAUGCCAUAUACAUUAAGUCCGGCAGUCAGACUACGAAUGAUAAGAUCCGUGGUCAAAAGGGAAACAGCCCAGACCGUCAGCUAAGGUCCCAAAGUGUAAGUUAAGUGGAAAAGGAUGUGGGAUUUCUAAGACAACUAGGAUGUUGGCUUAGAAGCAGCCACUCAUUUAAAGAGUGCGUAAUAGCUCACUAGUCGAGAGAUCCUGCGCCGAAAAUGUACCGGGGCUAAACUUACCACCGAAGCUACGGAUUUGCAAGUAAUUGCAAGUGGUAGGGGAGCGUCGUAAUCGGGCUGAAGUCGUACCGGAAGGAGCGGUGGACUGAUUACGAGUGAGAAUGUUGGCAUUAGUAGCGAGAUGUAGGUGAGAAUCCUACAGGCCGAAUAUCUAAGGUUUCCUCAGGAAGGCUCGUCCGCUGAGGGUUAGUCGGGACCUAAGCCGAGGCCGAAAGGCGUAGGCGAUGGACAAUCGGUUGAUAUUCCGAUACCACUACCAUCGUUAUUAUCGAGGGUGUGACGGAGAAGGAUAGUGUGUGCUAGCGAUUGGAAAUGCUAGUCUAAGCGUUUAGGGAGUUACGGUAGGCAAAUCCGCUGUAACAAUUCUGAGGCGUGAUGGGGAAGGUCAUUAAGACCGAAGUACAUGAUUCCAUGCUUCCAAGAAAAGCAUCUAGAGAGAGAAGUAGUGCCCGUACCGCAAACCGACACAGGUAGAUGAGGAGAGAAUCCUAAGGCCGGCGGAAGAAUUGCAGUUAAGGAACUAGGCAAAUUGACCCCGUAAGUUCGCGAGAAGGGGUGCCUGCGAGAGCAGGCCGCAGAGAAUAGGCCCAAGCAACUGUUUAGCAAAAACACAGGUCUCUGCUAAAGCGUAAGCUGAUGUAUAGGGGCUGACGCCUGCCCGGUGCUGGAAGGUUAAGGGGAACACUUAGCGCAAGCGAAGGUGUGAACUUAAGCCCCAGUAAACGGCGGCCGUAACUAUAACGGUCCUAAGGUAGCGAAAUUCCUUGUCAGGUAAGUUCUGACCCGCACGAAUGGCGUAAUGACUUGGGCACUGUCUCAACUGCAAAUCCGGCGAAGUUGUAGUGCGAGUGAAGAUGCUCGCUACCCGCGAUUGGACGGAAAGACCCCGUAGAGCUUUACUGUAGCUUAGCAUUGAAUUCCGGUAUUGUCUGUACAGGAUAGGUGGGAGACUGGGAAACUAGGGCGUCAGCCUUAGUGGAGUCAACCUUGGGAUACCACCCUGACAGUACUGGGGUUCUAACAGGACGCCAUGAAGCUGGUGACUGGACAUUGUUAGGUGGGCAGUUUGACUGGGGCGGUCGCCUCCUAAAAAGUAACGGAGGCGCCCAAAGGUUCCCUCAGAACGGUCGGAAAUCGUUCGUAGAGUGCAAAGGCAGAAGGGAGCCUGACUGCGAGACCUACAAGUCGAGCAGGGACGAAAGUCGGGCUUAGUGAUCCGGUGGUACCUCGUGGGAGGGCCAUCGCUCAACGGAUAAAAGCUACCUCGGGGAUAACAGGCUGAUCUCCCCCAAGAGUCCACAUCGACGGGGAGGUUUGGCACCUCGAUGUCGGCUCGUCGCAUCCUGGGGCUGUAGUAGGUCCCAAGGGUUGGGCUGUUCGCCCAUUAAAGCGGCACGCGAGCUGGGUUCAGAACGUCGUGAGACAGUUCGGUCCCUAUCCGUCGCGGGCGUAGGAAAUUUGAGAGGAGCUGUCCUUAGUACGAGAGGACCGGGAUGGACUGACCUCUGGUGCACCAGUUGUUCUGCCAAGAGCAUGGCUGGGUAGCUAAGUCGGGAAGGGAUAAACGCUGAAAGCAUCUAAGCGUGAAGCCCCCCUCAAGAUGAGAUUUCCCAUAGCAUAAGCUAGUAAGACCCCUUGA